GAAGAAAUCUUUUGAGUCAUCCUAUAUACUGCAAAUGGGGCAUAUAGGAUGACUCAAAGAUUAUAGAGUGUUUUAUAAUUGAGAUAUUAACUUAAUAAUUUUCAGAACCAUAUAAAUAAUUUUCAGAACCAUAUAAAUAAUUUUCCUUUCUUAUUUCCAUCUUGAUCACUCCAAAUUUGUGAUUAUUUAGUAAAAAAAGAAUGACAAGAGAUUAAAAACUUGUGAUCAGUUGUUUUGAUUUUUCUAUUCAUAGAGUGAAUAGUUUUCAUCUAUAUUGAUGUUAGCUUACUAUUACAAUUUUGUCCUGAUCAGGCAUUACUAUAAUACAGUGAUGGGCAAACUACGGCCUGCGGGCCACAUGUGGCCCGCCACGACAAUAUGUACGGCCCAAGAUCUGUGUACAAGUGUAAGAAUUUUACAAGUGUAUUUGUACAAGUGUAAGAAUUUAGUCUUUAGAAAAAUCUGGUAUCUGCCCCACUCGAUUUUCCGAUAUAUUUGAAUAUGUAACCUAUUGAGGGGCAACAAAUUUUGAGGCAGUAGCGGUGGUAGAGAGCGGCCGUGAAAAUUC
rnacentral:lncRNA from 1 species